CCUACGGGAGGCAGAAGUGAGGAAUAUUGGUCAAUGGACGAGAGUCUGAACCAGCCAAGUAGCGUGAAGGAUGACUGCCCUAUGGGUUGUAAACUUCUUUUAUAUGGAAAUAAAAUGUUCCACGUGUGGGAUUUUGUAUGUACCAUAUGAAUAAGGAUCGGCUAACUCCGUGCCAGCAGCCGCGGUAAUACGGAGGAUCCGAGCGUUAUCCGGAUUUAUUGGGUUUAAAGGGAGCGUAGGUGGAUUGUUAAAUCAGUUGUGAAAGUUUGCGGCUCAACCGUAAAAUUGCAGUUGAAACUGGCAGUCUUGAGUACAGUAGAGGUGGGCGGAAUUCGUGGUGUAGCGGUGAAAUGCUUAGAUAUCACGAAGAACUCCGAUUGCGAAGGCAGUUCACUGGACUGCAACUGACACUGAGGCUCGAAAGUGUGGGUAUCAAACAGGAUUAGAUACCCCUGUAGUC
rnacentral:rRNA from 1 species